AUUGAACGCUGGCGGCAGGCUUAACACAUGCAAGUCGAGCGGGGAAGGUUGCUUCGGUAACUGACCUAGCGGCGGACGGGUGAGUAAUGCUUAGGAAUCUGCCUAUUAGUGGGGGACAACAUUCCGAAAGGAAUGCUAAUACCGCAUACGCCCUACGGGGGAAAGCAGGGGAUCUUCGGACCUUGCGCUAAUAGAUGAGCCUAAGUCGGAUUAGCUAGUUGGUGGGGUAAAGGCCUACCAAGGCGACGAUCUGUAGCGGGUCUGAGAGGAUGGUCCGCCAAACUGGGACUGAGACACGGCCCAGACUCCUACGGGAGGCAGCAGUGGGGAAUAUUGGACAAUGGGCGCAAGCCUGAUCCAGCCAUGCCGCGUGUGUGAAGAAGGCCUUUUGGUUGUAAAGCACUUUAAGCAAGGAGGAGGCUCCUUUAGUUAAUACCUAAAGAGAGUGGACGUUACUCGCAGAAUAAGCACCGGCUAACUCUGUGCCAGCCGCCGCCGUAA
rnacentral:rRNA from 1 species